rnacentral:rRNA from 1 species
AGCGAACGCUGGCGGCAGGCUUAACACAUGCAAGUCGAGCGGGCCCUUCGGGGUCAGCGGCGGACGGGUGAGUAACGCGUGGGAACGUGCCUUCUGGUCUGGAAUAACCCUGGGAAACUAGGGCUAAUACCGGAUACGCCCUUUUGGGGAAAGGUUUACUGCCGGAAGAUCGGCCCGCGUCUGAUUAGCUAGUUGGUGGGGUAACGGCCUACCAAGGCGACGAUCAGUAGCUGGUCUGAGAGGAUGAUCAGCCACACUGGGACUGAGACACGGCCCAGACUCCUACGGGAGGCAGCAGUGGGGAAUAUUGGACAAUGGGCGCAAGCCUGAUCCAGCCAUGCCGCGUGAGUGAUGAAGGCCUUAGGGUUGUAAAGCUCUUCUAUCCGGGACGAUAAUGACGGUACCGGAGGAAUAAGCCCCGGCUAACUUCGUG